GGGAGUUUGGCCGAGUGGUUAAGGCGUUGUGUUUAGGUAACAAUACUCUAUAGUUCGAAUCCCUCAGCUCUCA